CCCUUAGAUGUCCGGGGCUGCACGCGCGCUACACUGAAGGAAUCAGCGUGCUAAAACCAUUGUCGAAAGGCAUUGGUAAACCCAUUAAAAUCCUACGUGAUUGGGAUCGGGAAUUGCAAUUAUUUCCCUUGAACGAGGAAUUCCCAGUAAGUGUGGGUCAUAAGCUCGCGUUGAUUACGUCCCUGCCCUUUGUACACACCGCCCGUCGCUGCCCGGGACUGAGCCGUUUCGAGAAAAGCGGGGACUGCUGCUGUCGGGGCUUUCGGGCCUUGGCUGCGGUGGAAACCGCUUUAAUCGCAGUGGCUUGAACCGGGCAAAAGUCGUAACA
rnacentral:rRNA from 1 species